rnacentral:rRNA from 1 species
UACGUAGGGUGCGAGCGUUGUCCGGAAUUAUUGGGCGUAAAGAGCUCGUAGGCGGCUUGUCGCGUCGGAUGUGAAAGCCCGGGGCUUAACUCCGGGUCUGCAUCCGACACGGGCAGGCUAGAGUUCGGUAGGGGAGAUCGGAAUUCCUGGUGUAGCGGUGAAAUGCGCAGAUAUCAGGAGGAACACCGGUGGCGAAGGCGGAUCUCUGGGCCAAUAUUGACGCUGAGGUGCGAAAGCGUGGGGAGCAAACAGG